rnacentral:ncRNA from 1 species
AGCGAAGAAGGUUACGUUUUUCUUAAUACUUUGUCUACUUCAGAGAUUGUUCGACACGAUGUCGAACAAAGUCGCCCCUGAGCCAGGACGGCGAAUGGGCGACGGUCUCGUACGGUAUCUCAGCAUAAAUCAAAGUAUUUAGAAAAACAAGCAUUCGUAG